rnacentral:rRNA from 1 species
UACGUAGGGGGCGAGCGUUGUCCGGAGUUACUGGGCGUAAAGGGCACGCAGGCGGUGCGGCGCGUUUCGCGUGACAGCGGAAGGCUUAACUCUCCGAGGAUGCGAAAGACGGCGGCACUUGAGGGCCAGAGAGGGACACGGAAUUCCGGGUGGAGUGGUGAAAUGCGUAGAGAUCCGGAGGAACACCGAAGGCGAAGGCAGUGUCCUGGCUGGUGACUGACGCUGAGGUGCGAAAGCUAGGGGAGCGAACGGG